UAGCGAGAACAAGGUGGGAAUCCUUGUGGCCGAAUAUCCAAGGUUUCCAGGGUAAAGCUGAUCUGCCCUGGGUGAGUCGGGGCCCAAGGCGAGGACGAGAGUCGUAGCCGAUGGACAACAGGUGGAGAUUCCUGUACUGCGGUAUGACAGAACUGUGGGGACACGUAAGGAAAGCGGAAGCCGGGAAUGGAAAGCCCGGUGCAAGCAGGGUACCAGUGCGGAAGGCAAAUCCGCCGCACAAUGGGAAGCUGUGAAGCGGAGCGAAAUAAAGUAGCGAAGUCCGUGAGCCAUGCGUCAAGAAAAGCCGCUAUUGUUUGUACCGUACCCGUACCGUAAACCGACACAGGUGGAUGAGGAGAGAAUCCUAGGCCGGCGGAAGAAGCAUUGUCAAGGAACUCGGCAAAAUGGCCCCGUAACUUAGGGAUAAGGGGUGCCUGUGGAAACGGGCCGCAGAGAAUAGGCUCAAGCAACUGUUUAGCAAAAACACAGGUCUAUGCGAAACCGAAAGGUGAGGUAUAUGGGCUGACGCCUGCCCGGUGCUGGAAGGUUAAGAGGAGAGGUCAGAGCAAUCGAAGCCUUGAAUUUAAGCCCCAGUAAACGGCGGCCGUAACUAUAACGGUCCUAAGGUAGCGAAAUUCCUUGUCGGGUAAGUUCCGACCCGCACGAAAGGCGUAAUGAUUUGAGCGCUGUCUCGACAAUGCAUCCGGUGAAAUUGAAGUACCAGUGAAGAUGCUGGUUACCCGCGCCAGGACGGAAAGACCCCAUGGAGCUUUACUCCAGUUUGGUACUGGGAUCCGGUAUUGCAUGUACAGGAUAGGUGGGAGGCAGAGAAUGUGCAGCGCCAGCUGCACAGGAGCCGCUGUUGGGAUACCACCCUUGCAGUAUUGGGUUUCUAACCAGCCGCCGUGAACCGGCGGUGGGACAAUGCCAGACGGGGAGUUUGACUGGGGCGGUCGCCUCCGAAAGGGUAUCGGAGGCGCCCAAAGGUUCCCUCAGGAUGGACGGAAACCAUCCAAAGAGUGCAAAGGCAGAAGGGAGCUUGACUGUGACACCGACGGGUGGAACAGGUACGAAAGUAGGGCUUAGUGAUCCGGUGGUAUUAAGUGGGAAUGCCAUCGCUCAACGGAUAAAAGCUACCCUGGGAUAACAGGCUUAUCACUCCCAAGAGUUCACAUCGACGGAGUGGUUUGGCACCUCGAUGUCGGCUCAUCGCAUCCUGGGGCUGUAGUAGGUCCCAGGGGUUGGGCUGUUCGCCCAUUAAAGCGGUACGCGAGCUGGGUUCAGAACGUCGUGAGACAGUUCGGUCCCUAUCCGGCGUGGGCGUAGGAUAUCUGAAGGGAGCUGUCCUUAGUACGAGAGGACCGGGAUGGACGGACCGCUGGUGUACCGGUUGAGCAGCCAGGCUCAUGGCCGGGUAGCCAAGUCCGGAAGGGAUAAACGCUGAAGGCAUCUAAGCGUGAAGCCCCCCCUGAGAUGAGAUAUCCCAUUCGAAAGAAGUAAGACCCCUUGAAGACGACGAGGUAGAUAGGCUGGGGAUGGAAGUGCAGUAAUGUACGGAGUUGACCAGUACUAAUCGGUCGAGGGCUUGACC
rnacentral:rRNA from 1 species